AAAGGCCCUAUGAAUCUAGGCCUCACUUUCCCCUUCUUCUCAAAUCUCAAUAGUCCUUUUAUGGGUGAUACUUUCAAGAACACAUGAUCACCUAUUUCGAGUACUAGUUCCCUCUUUCUGUUCUCUUCAUAGCUCUUUUUUCUGCACUAUGCAAUUCGAAGGUUAUUCCUAAUUACCAUUAUUUUUGUGGUCUCCUCCUUCAGUUCGGGUCCAAUCCAUCUCCUCUCUCCCACUUUCUCCCAACAUACAAGUGACCUGCAAGGCCUACCAUAUAGGGACUCAUAAGGAGUCAUCCCACUACUAGUGUGAUAAUUGUUAUUAAUGCAAAUUCUAUCUGAGGUAGUAGCUCGUCCUAAUUUCCUCCAAUAUCUAUAAUGCAUGCCUGUUACAUGUCUUUCAAUAGUUGCAUAGUUCUUUAUAUUUGUCCAUCUGUCUAUGGAUGGAAUGAUAUAUUGAAAUUUAGUUUCGU
rnacentral:lncRNA from 1 species